GAAUAUAUGAAGCUGUUGUAGGAAGUGACUAUGUCAUUAAUAGAGUUGCAUUUCGAGACAACUCUUCAAAGUACUACAUAAAUGACCGUGGAAGUAAUUUUAUAGAGGUCACUAAGAAAUUGAAAGGAAAAGGAGUGGACUUGGACAACAAUCAGUUUUUGAUUCUUCAAGGUGAAGUCGAGCAAAUUUCUCUAAUGAAGCCAAAGAUUUGUAUUUUCAGCAUUGUUGUAAUUGUAAUUGUAAUUGAUUGAAUGAAGGAUUGUAAUUGAUUGUAAUCGUAAUUGAUUCAAUGAGGGAUUGUAAUUGAUUGUAAUUGAAUGAAUGAAUGAUUGUAAUUGAUUGUAAUGGAAUGAAUGAAUGAUUAUACAGGUGGUAAUUGAAUGAA